UGGGGAAUAUUGGACAAUGGGCGGAAGCCUGAUCCAGCAACGCCGCGUGAGGGAUGACGGCCUUCGGGUUGUAAACCUCUUUCAGUACCGACGAAGCGAAAGUGACGGUAGGUACAGAAGAAGGACCGGCCAACUACGUGCCAGCAGCCGCGGUAAUACGUAGGGUCCGAGCGUUGUCCGGAAUUAUUGGGCGUAAAGGGCUCGUAGGCGGUUUGUCGCGUCGGGAGUGAAAACAGCGGGCUUAACUCGUUGCUUGCUUUCGAUACGGGCAGACUAGAGGUAUGCAGGGGAGAAUGGAAUUCCUGGUGUAGCGGUGAAAUGCGCAGAUAUCAGGAGGAACACCGGUGGCGAAGGCGGUUCUCUGGGCAUUACCUGACGCUGAGGAGCGAAAGUGUGGGGAGCGAACAGGAUUAGAUACCCCUGGUAGUCCACACCGUAAACGUUGGGGCGCUAGGUGUGGGGUCCUUUCCACGGAUUCCGUGCCGUAGC
rnacentral:rRNA from 1 species